AUUUAUAUCUCUAUAACUUUUAUUUGAAGUAUUUUUGCAUAAAAUAAUUAGGAAACGUUUGCGCAAAGAAACAGUAAUUUCCCAUGUUAUGUUAAACGCCUAUGUUCCACUUUUCGAUUUAGACCCUGUAUACAUACAAAAGAGGGACAAGUUCUAUGUGGUACCAUUGACUAGUGGUACAUGCUAACUAAAACUAGAUGUAUGCCAUGCUUACUUAUUUUUUUACGCGUUACACAUACAUGCAACCAAUAUGACUGUAUUUAAAAUGAGAAGCAGAAUCAGAAAGUGCAAUAAAAAGUACGAUAGGAAGUUGGCACCAACUUUCAGAUCCGUCCGAAUUACGGUAUCACAAGCGCAUUCUGAUGCUUGACCCCCUUUGCUGAACCGUAAAUUGGUUGACCACAAAUACAGAAUCAAAAUAUACAAGACGAAGAGAGACAAAUGUAAACUAAAUACCGCAAUUUUCCUCCAGGAAAAUGCGCUAAAAAGUCAGUUCCCGAUUUCAGGUAAUAGGUCUAUCAGGGACUAGAACACAUAAUGUGAAAGAACAUAUUUUGUUAAUUGUAUCGGUUUAUACCUAGUCAUUCAGAAACGGUGGUCUCUGGUACAGUUUGGAAACGUGAUGCGUGAUUGUUUUUCUCAUUUCGUGGGAUAAAAUGCCGACUUCAUUGGAAACACCCUGCACAGUAUACUCUUACAUGAAACUAACUACUAAGUAAAACGAAUGAUUUAUAGAUUCUGUUAAUAAAUGCCAUAGUUUAAAAAUUGUUAAACAAGGUACCUAUUACAAAUAUUUAUUUCUUUGAACCUAAAUAGUAACUGUUCUAAAUGCACCCUUCUAUGUAUUGUAAAUGAUUAAUAAAUGAUGUUUAAAACU